CAACGGGGAGAUACUCCUGAGACGGUACGAGCAAGAGUAGGGGCAAGAAGACUCUCCAACUACCGCCCUGAGGACGUGGAUGCGUUGUUGAAUAAAUGGUGUGACGAAGAGUAUCAGGAGUAUGCUGACCAUAUGAAGCAAUUACGAGCAUUGCAAAAUACUCCUCAUUGCACGGGGACCAAAAGCUAUGCGAGGUUGUCACACGAAGAAACUGUCAAGGAUGGCACUCCUCCUACGCGAGCACAAGCGUACAUAAAAACUCACAAGAAGAAGGAUGGAAGCU